rnacentral:rRNA from 2 species
AAUGGUUUAUGUUCCAAAUGAUUUAUCCGCCGUAGGAUGGGACUGCGGCUAUCAGUUUGUUGGUGAGGUAAUGGCCCACCAAGACUAUUACAGGUACGGGCUCUGAGAGGAGUAGCCCGGAGAUGGGUACUGAGACACGGACCCAGGCCCUAUGGGGCGCAGCAGGCGAGAAAACUUUGCAAUGUGCGAAAGCACGACAAGGUUAAUCCGAGUGGUUUCUGCUAAAGAAACCUUUUGUCAGUCCUAGAAACACUGAUGAAUAAGGGGUGGGCAAGUUCUGGUGUCAGCCGCCGCGGUAAAACCAGCACCUCAAGUGGUCAGGAUGAUUAUUGGGCCUAAAGCAUCCGUAGCCGGCUCUGUAAGUUUUCGGUUAAAUCUGUACGCUCAACGUACAGGCUGCCGGGAAUACUGCAGAGCUAGGGAGUGGGAGAGGUAGACGGUACUCGGUAGGAAGGGGUAAAAUCCUUUGAUCUAUUGAUGACCACCUGUGGCGAAGGCGGUCUACCAGAACACGUCCGACGGUGAGGGAUGAAAGCUGGGGGAGCAAACCGGAUUAGAUACCCGGGUAGUCCCAGCUGUAAACUAUGCAAACUCAGUGAUGCAUUGGCUUGUGGCCAAUGCAGUGCUGCAGGGAAGCCGUUAAGUUUGCCGCCUGGGAAGUACGUACGCAAGUAUGAAACUUAAAGGAAUUGGCGGGGGAGCACCACAAGGGGUGAAGCCUGCGGUUCAAUUGGAUUCAACGCCGGG